GUCAACUUUAAUGUGAUGCCAUUUCUGGGGACUGUAAGUAAUUUUCAAACUCGACAGCUCGGUUGAUUCUUGGCCAGCUGUUUGUCAUUGCAUCGUUGGAGCACUAAGACACUCUAAAGUCAGGAGCUUAUUCUAAAGAAGACAUACAUCUAGAGUGUGUCUGUUAAUAUCCCCAGCCGCAUUGUUCAAUAAUGGCUGGUUGAAGAGUCGCACCCUUCUCUCUAUGUGGUUACCUGAUCCCUCCCAGCAAACACAGUGUGUUCACAUGGGACUGCUCAUACCAAAGUACACCUACGCAAUCGACUCCCUUUUCAUUUCGCCUUUUCAUUGUGUGUACACAUGUAUGUGAACGUGCGCUUUGAUUUUGAUGGCCUUGAAGAUGCUAACAUGGAUUGCUUUUGUCAAUAAGGUUUAGCUUAAGAAGAUCCUCAAGAACCUUAAGAAGUCAGGAAUGCAGAUCUUAGCACCGGAAGGAUGGGCCCUGGAAUAGCAGAAUGUCUAUGAGGGCCACACAAAGGUGAAGAAUUUAGCAGAACUCCUGGUGCUGGGGGGUGGGGUGAUGGGAACUCCAUACAUGGGUACGGGCCCUCACACAAGCACUGAGGCAGCACUAGGGUUGAGUUUUAUGAGCCCCCUAAAGGUACAGUACAUAGAAACAGAAAGCCGGUUUCAGCGAUCCAGAUCACACAGCAUGGAUGGAACUGUAACCGUAGCUGGGCGACGAAACACAGAACAAGGGAACUCUGACUAGGUGCAAGAUGCAGCUAAGGCAUAGGUCCCAUACAUUCCUGCCCCGAUGCCUGCAUGCUUACACUGCACAAAGCAUGCUACGCUUGGACUAAUGUUUAUGAAAGUAAUGUAUUAGUCACUCACGACCUUCCCACUAGGUCAUUGUAUGUAUUCAUAUAAUCGAUUAGAAUGUCCUGAGGGGUAUGCAAGACCGCUUUAAUGGACCUGAAAAAAGCCAUCUACUACUUUCUGACUCCUGUAAAUGGUUAAGACGAUUAGUCUUUGAAGUAGCAUUAGUCUCAGAUUUAGCCUGAAAUUAUAGUAGGAAUAAAAUAAUAAGCAAAACAAAACACUCUGCUCCAUUGACUUGCAGCUGGCCAUGUUUUUAGGUGAAACAUUACAUUACAUACCCAGCUCAGAGAUUUGUUUAUAACAAAACUUAGAAAGUAUGGUUGAGUUUAUGUUUCUAUUAGCUUACACCACCUAUACUACAGGUGCUUGCUACAUCAUUUUGAAAUUUGUGCAAAUGUUUGACACGUGAGGACUUUUCUUUUCUUUUUUUUUCUUCAUUAUUUGAAUUUAUUUAACAUUAACAAACCACACAAAACAAACUACAGCAUUUAUAAAGAAAAACGUUAUUUUUAAGCCAGCAAAGGAAGUUAACACAUGCUAACACAUGAUGUUCAUUCAGUUUGUUAAGUAAAUGAACUACUUAAAUCCAUUCAGAAGUAUGAAUACGGUCACAUAAAUGAUCAUCACAUAAAUAUUCAAGCUAAUAAUGUUAAUAGCAUUUCUAGGAAGUGGUCACUGGUUAUGGUGUUAGGCUACUGCUAAGAAGGUUGUGAGUUUGAAUCCCAGAACCACCAAACUGCCACCUCUAGGCCCCUGAGCAUGGCCCUUAACCUUCAAAAGUAGACAUGGCCCUUAACCUUGAAGAUCAUGGCCCUUAAAAGUAAGUUGCUCUGGAUAAGAGCAUGUUUGACAUGCAUUAAUGAAUAUAACUCAUGUUUUUGGGUGGAAUUAUUAUAGUCAGCCUCACACAUGAAUUUUAUCAGUUAAUACAAUAUGCAGUCCCUCCAAGAUUGAUCAAUCGCAGAAAUAAACACAAAAUCAAGCCAAAUCUAUAAUUAAAAAAAAAGUACAGCAGAUUUUCCUCGACUGUGGACCGUUGUGUGACAUCAUCACAACACACGUUCAGCCAAAUUCCCCUUGAUUCACACGCAUCAAACAUGAGUACAGCCAUCAUAUAAAUCGCAAUUCAUCCAAUGCUAGUAGUUUUCCAUAAGAAAGUAAAGAGUUGUGUCGCAAGAUUUGAAAAAAGCUGCAAAUCAAGUUUUUUUGGUUGCAAAAAUCACAAAAAAAUCUAAAUGAAACUCUGAAGAGACGGAGCGUAUAGCUUAUAAAUAAACAUUAUCAUACCACAGCACUGUUGUAUUCUUCAUCCUGAUUAGUCAAAAGGUUAAUUCAUCUUCUUAAAGCAGAGCUUCAAUCCAAAUCAUUAUUUUUUCUAUAGGAACAGAGGAUUAACGGUGAGUCCGCUGAAAGGAUGCAUUUACUUAACAAUUAUGGAAGGAGCAUCUAGUGGUAUUGCAUAAUAAUAGUAAUGGUUAGUUUUUCACCAAUAGACAGUGUUCAAGAUACAGAGCUUGGUGUAUUCCCUGUAACAUGACAAUCUUCUAUUCACUUCAAGAAAGAGAAAAAUGACAGGCGAGGUAAGGAAACGACUGUUUAUAGCUGAUAAACUUAUAAAAGUUGCUCAAAUGCUACUGUUUAUUGUUCGUUUGCACUUGACUAUCUAGUGAAGUUAGAGACAAUUUGUAAUUUAUAAUCACACAAUCUUAUGUCUUCCAGAUGAGGAUGAGUUCCCUUUUGAGUCUGGUUCCUCUCAAGGGUUCUUCCUCAUAUUGUCACUGGGAGUAUUUCC